AUUGAACGCUGGCGGCAUGCCUUACACAUGCAAGUCGAACGGCCCCACGGGUGCUUGCACCUGGUGGCGAGUGGCGAACGGGUGAGUAAUCCAUCGGAACAGGUUCAGUAGGGGGGGCUAGUCCGGAGAAAGCCGGAGCACUACCGCAUACGGACUUAGGGCGAAUACGGGGGCCCUCGUGGCCUCGGGUUAUUGGGUGGGGUGAUGGCUGAUUAGCUAGUCGGUGAGGAGAUGGCCUAACAAGGCGAUGAGCAGUAGCUGGCCUGAGAGACCGACCAGCCACACUGGCACUGAGACACGGCCCAGACUCCUGCGGUAGGCAGCAGUGGGGAAUUUUGCGCAAGGGGCGAAAGCCUGAUCCAGCAAUGCCGCGUGUGUGAAGAAGGCCUUCGGGUUGUAAAACGCUUUUGUCCGGAAAGAAAUCCUUUGCUCUCAUCCGGUCGGGGAAUGACGGUACCGGAAGAAUAAGCCCCGGCUAACUACGUG
rnacentral:rRNA from 1 species